rnacentral:rRNA from 1 species
UACAGAGGUGGCAAGCGUUGUUCGGAAUUACUGGGCGUAAAGGGCUCGUAGGUGGCCAACUAAGUCAGACGUGAAAUCCCUCGGCUUAACCGGGGAACUGCGUCUGAUACUGGAUGGCUUGAGUUCGGGAGAGGGAUGCGGAAUUCCAGGUGUAGCGGUGAAAUGCGUAGAUAUCUGGAGGAACACCGGUGGCGAAGGCGGCAUCCUGGACCGAUACUGACGCUGAGGAGCGAAAGCCAGGGGAGCAAACGGG